GUCCAGGGUAGCCUAGUGGACAUGGCACCUGCCCGGUAAGCAGAAGAUUGUGGGUUCGAUUCCCGCCCUGGACA
rnacentral:tRNA from 1 species